rnacentral:rRNA from 1 species
AAGUCGUAACAAGGUCUCCGUAGGUGAACCUGCGGAGGGAUCAUUACCGAGUGAGGGUCUCCGGGCCCGACCUCCAACCCUUUGAUUAACCAACUCUUGUUGCCUCGGGGGCGACCCGGUCGCGUCGGCUUCGCCCGACUCGGCGUCGGGGCCCCCGGUGGACACCCUCACAACUCUGCAUCUUUGCGUCGGGUUGAUUAAGAAAAUCAAUUAAAACUUUCAACAACGGAUCUCUUGGUUCUGGCAUCGAUGAAGAACGCAGCGAAAUGCGAUAAGUAAUGUGAAUUGCAGAAUUCAGUGAAUCAUCGAAUCUUUGAACGCACAUUGCGCCCCUUGGUAUUCCGGGGGGCAUGCCCGUUCGAGCGUCAUUUCACCACUCAAGCCUCGCUUGGUAUUGGGCCACGGGGCGACCCGGGCCUCAAAAUCGUCGGCUGGACGGUCCGAAUCUCAGCGUCGUGGCAAACAUUCGCUGGCGAGACGGGCGAUCCGCGCCGUGAAACCUCUAUCACAGGUUGACCUCGGAUCGGGUAGGGAUACCCGCUGAACUUAA